GAAGAUAUCCCGGUGUUUAAGAGGAGGAGGCGGUCCAGCUCCGUCGUGUCCGCCGAGAUGUCCGGCUGCAGCAGCAAGUCUCAUCGGAGGACCUCCCUGCCCUGUAUACCGAGGGAACAGCUCAUGGGGCAUUCAGAAUGGGACCACAAACGAGGGCCAAGAGGAUCACAGGUAAGUUUCUUUUCCUUUUCUUUUUCACGUUUCGUUUUGUAACACUUUCAGCCACGGGUUUUCUAAAACUCAAGAGAUAAUAAAAUGUAGAGCGAGGAAGAGGCAAAAUAACCAUGCCAUUUGUUUUUAUUUAAGUUAACUAUAAUUAAAGUCUGGAUUUCAAAUCCCAAAGGCAGAUGCCAGGAUAUUCCUUCUAAGAGCUUUCUGGUAUCCCAGAUUGGUUGUGUUUAUAUGAAUAUAGAUUUUAUAUUCAUCUUGUCUCGGCAGAAUACAUUUUGAUCAGCAACCCACUCUCUUUAUUCAUUUCCUUUGACAAUUUUUCCGUGUAUUUUCUUUUUUCUUCAGCUUCCUGUUUUUGGUUAAAUAUUUUGAAAUAUAAUCAGAAUAAACUCUGAACUAAUUACAAGAUUUUGUCUCUAAAUUAACUCUUUUCAUCUGAGGGAAACAGAAAGAUGAAAGGACCUAUUAUUUUUGAAAAGAAACAAAUUCUAAAUCUUUCUAUAUUACCAGAGUG
rnacentral:sRNA from 1 species